AUUGAACGCUGGCGGCAUGCUUUACACAUGCAAGUCGAACGGCAGCGCGGGCUUCGGCCUGGCGGCGAGUGGCGAACGGGUGAGUAAUACAUCGGAACGUGCCCAGUAGUGGGGGAUAGCUCGGCGAAAGCCGGAUUAAUACCGCAUACGACCUGAGGGUGGAAGCGGGGGAUCUUCGGACCUCGCGCUAUUGGAGCAGCCGAUGGCAGAUUAGCUAGUUGGUGGGGUAAAGGCCUACCAAGGCGACGAUCUGUAGCUGGUCUGAGAGGACGACCAGCCACACUGGGACUGAGACACGGCCCAGACUCCUACGGGAGGCAGCAGUGGGGAAUUUUGGACAAUGGGCGAAAGCCUGAUCCAGCAAUGCCGCGUGUGUGAUGAAGGCCUUCGGGUUGUAAAGCACUUUUGGCGGGAACGAAAAGGACUGUGCCAAUACCACGGUUCGAUGACGGUACCCGCAGAAUAAGCACCGGCUAACUACGUG
rnacentral:rRNA from 1 species